GAUGAACGCUGGCGGCGUGCUUAACACAUGCAAGUCGAACGGUGAACGAGGGAGCUUGCUCCCUCCGGAUCAGUGGCGAACGGGUGAGUAACACGUGAGCAAUCUGCCCUGGACUCUGGGAUAAGCGUUGGAAACGACGUCUAAUACCGGAUACGAGGCGUGGGGGCAUCCCCAACGCCUGGAAAGAACUUCGGUCCAGGAUGAGCUCGCGGCCUAUCAGCUAGUUGGUGGGGUAGUGGCCUACCAUGGCUUUGACGGGUAGCCGGCCUGAGAGGGGGACCGGCCACACUGGGACUGAGACACGGCCCAGACUCCUACGGGAGGCAGCAGUGGGGAAUAUUGGACAAUGGGCGGAAGCCUGAUCCAGCAACGCCGCGUGAGGGAUGACGGCCUUCGGGUUGUAAACCUCUUUCAGCACAGACGAAGCUCACUUGUGGGUGACGGUAUGUGCAGAAGAAGCACCGGCCAACUACGUGCCAGCAGCCGCAGUAAAAC
rnacentral:rRNA from 1 species